rnacentral:lncRNA from 1 species
UGGUUGGUUUAUAAGCCAUUUUUUCAAACUAAAAUACUUGAAAGAAAUCCUUGCAAAAAGAAAAGAGUUUCAUUGAGAGGCCAAGUUAUAUGAAUUUGAUGGUAUAUCUUACUAAUAAUAAGGCUAAAAGUUGAUUGAAUUCCAUGUCCGAGAUAUGGGAGUUCUAUUCAAAUGCUCCAAUUGAUAGGUUUCGAGGUGUAU